CCCUAGUAACUGCGAGUGAACCGGGAAAAGCUCAAAUUUUGAAUCUGGCGGUCUUUCGGCCGUCCGAGUUGUAAUCUAGAGAAGCGUCUUCCGCGCUGGACCGUGUAUAAGUUUCCUGGAAUGGAACGUCGUAGAGGGUGAGAAUCCCGUCUUUGACACGGACUGCCAGGGCUAUGUGAUGCGCUCUCGACGAGUCGAGUUGUUUGGGAAUGCAGCUCAAAUAGGGUGGUAAAUUCCAUCUAAAGCUAAAUACAGGCGAGAGACCGAUAGCGAACAAGUACCGUGAGGGAAAGAUGAAAAGAACUUUGGAAAGAGAGUUAAACAGUACGUGAAAUUGCUGAAAGGGAAACGCUUGAUGUCAGUCGCGUCGGCCGGGGAUCAGCCUUGCUCUUUUGCUCGGUGUAUUUCCUGGUCGACGGGUCAGCAUCGGUUUCGACCGUCGGAAAAUGGCUCGAGGAAUGUGGCACUCUUCGGAGUGUGUUAUAGACUCGGGUCGAAUACGACGAUCGGGACCGAGGAACUCAGCACGACCUUCGGGUUUCGGGGCUUCGGCCCACGUCGACGUGCUUAGGAUGCUGGCAUAAUGGCCUUAAGCGACCCGUCUUGAAACACGGACCAAGGAGUCUAACUCGCAUGCGAGUGUUUGGGCGAUUAAAACCCGAGCGCGCAAUGAAAGUGAAAGUCGAGACCUCUGUCGUGGAGGGCACCGACGCCCGGACCCGAGCUUCUGCGAAGGAUCUGCGGUAGAGCAUGCGUGUUGGGACCCGAAAGAUGGUGAACUAUGCCUGAAUAGGGUGAAGCCAGAGGAAACUCUGGUGGAGGCUCGUAGCGAUUCUGACGUGCAAAU
rnacentral:rRNA from 1 species